UACAGAGGGUGCAAGCGUUGUCCGGAUUGAUUGGGUUUAAAGGGUGCGUAGGCGGUUCUUUAAGUCCGGGGUGAAAGCCCACUGCUCAACAGUGGAACUGCCCUGGAAACUGGAGAACUUGAGUACAGACGAGGGCGGCGGAAUGGAUGGUGUAGCGGUGAAAUGCAUAGAUACCAUCCAGAACCCCGAUUGCGAAGGCAGCUGCCUAGACUGUAACUGACGCUGAGGCACGAAAGCGUGGGGAGCGAACAGG
rnacentral:rRNA from 1 species